rnacentral:lncRNA from 1 species
UCUGGGCUACGUAUAGUCAAUACUAGUAAAGGCUUCAUAGACAUUCAAUAGAGUUGGUGCAUUUGAUUCCAAUGUUGUUUUAUAUAAUCAGAGUUGUAAUCAUUUCAAUGGGAACACAUAAUCUCCCGUAACAAUGUAGCACACCUUCACUAUCAAUAGUGAAAGACAUCUCGAAUCCUAGCAAGGUAAGGAUCAUCAUAUUGGCAAGUCUUAACGUGCCUAACUAAGGAUGACUGAAC